UACUGAUGGCUCCGUGUCCCAUUUGGGGUCCCAUUUGGGGUCAUUUGGGCCGUUUUGGGGCCAUGUUGGGGUCGUAUUCCCUCUGAUCCUAUUGCAGGUUCCAUCCUCACUUGGGCCCCAUUUUUGGGGUCUUUUUGCGUCGUUUUGGGGUCUCUUUUCCCCCAGACCCCAUUGAGGUCUCCACCCCCAUUGUGACCCCAUUUUGGGGUGAUUUGGGGCCGUUUUGGGGUUUCUGACGCCUCUUUUCCCCCGCAGGCUGUAUGGGUUCAAGAUCCACCCCAUGGCGUACCAGCUGCAGCUGGCCCCAUUUGGGGGUCAUUUUGGGGCCAUUAUGGGGCCGUUUUGGGGUCGCAUCCCCCCAGGCCCCACUGAGGGAUCCCAUUGGGGGUUCCACCCCAUUUCGGGUCCCGUUUUGGGGUCAUUUGGGGCCGUUUUGGGGCCAUUUUGGGGUCGUAUUCCCUCUUGAUCCUAUUGCAGGUUCCAUCCUCAAUUGGGGCCCCAUUUUGGGGCCGUUUGGGGGCCAUUUUGGGGUCGUGUUCCCUCUGGGUCUUAUUGGAGGUCUCCACCCCCAUUGUGACCCCAUUUUGGGGUGAUUUGGGGUCGUUUUGGGGUUUCUGAUGCCUCUUUUCCCCCACAGGCUGUAUGGGUUCAAGAUCCACCCCAUGGCGUACCAGCUGCAGCUGGUCCCAUUUCGGGGUCAUUUUGGGGCCAUUAUGGGGCCGUUUUGGGGUCGCAUCCACCCAGACCCCACUGAGGGAUCCCAUUGGGGGUUCCACCCCAAUUGCGGCUCCAUUUUGGGGUCAUUUGGGGCCGUUUUGGGGUCGUGUUCCCUCUUGAUCCUAUUGCAGGUUCCAUCCUCAAUUGGGGCCCCAUUUUGGGGUCAUUUGGGGCAGAUUUGGGGCCUUUUUGGGGUCUCUUUUCCCCCAGACCCCACUGAUGGCUCUGUGUCCAAUUGUGACCCCAUUAUGGGGUCAUUUGGGGCCAUUUUGGGGCCGUUUUGGGGUACAUGUUCCCUCUUGAUCCUAUUGCAGGUUCCAUCCUCAAUUGGGGCCCCAUUUUGGGGUCAUUUAGGGCCGUUUGGGGUCGCAUCCCCCCAGACCCCACUGAUGGCUCCGUGUCCCAUUUGGGGUCCCAUUUUGGGGUGAUUUGGGGCCGUUUUGGGGCCAUUUUGGGGUCGUGUUCCCUCUUGAUCCUAUUGCAGGUUCCAUCCUCAAUUGGGGUCCCAUUUUGGGGUCAUUUGGGGCAAUUUUGGGGUCAUAUUCCCUCUUGAUCC
ensembl:lncRNA